ensembl:lncRNA
CUCCUCUCUGCUGUUGGUUUUUGAAUGCUACUUCGUAAGUGGAGAGAAGGCUUUCCUUUUCACUGACCUGUUCAGUCCCAGUUCAUCUUUACAUCCUAUUUCUGCCAUGGUUGCUUGUCACUUUUUGGCCAUGCUUCACCUGAAUUUCCUACUUCGCAUGUGUCUUCACACUUGGGGAUCUUCUAUGUGCAUUGAAACUUAGCACAAAUGUUUAAAGCAUGCUACUGCUAACAAGCACAACUUAUCCCUCUUCUAAGCAGCAACGAUAUUGUGUCUCUAACAAGGCAAACAUUUAUUUUCUAGUGAUUUUCAGCUUUUUGUCUUGAGCACAUGAAAAUGUAUCAACUCAUCUAACCCACGUAUAAUGUUCUGAACGUUUUCACUGCUGUCAUUUUCUACAGACUCCCCCUGUAUACUGCAGCUACGCAGCUCAGCAACUCUUCGCUUAGGCUGGACCACAAACACCCUAGGCAUUGACCUUUCUGGGUGUUUUAUGGUGGCACAUCACCCCUCCCUUGCCCAGGGCAGAGGGACUCACAACCAACCACUGACAGACAAUGCACGGGUUGGGACUUGGCGAACCCUUCGGGUGUGGUCAGAGGGUUUCUCACCCGUCAGACUGGCCCUGCCCAUUCGGGGCCCAUAAGUGUCAAUUUCUUGUACAUAUUCAUUCCAGGUGGGUAUGUAGUUGAAGUGUUUCGGAAAUCCCCAAUGUCCGCUGUACCUAACGGCCGUGCCAUGUGGCCAAGGCUCCCUGCGACCGCCCGGAAGUUGGCUUCGGCUGGUGCCAGGCCGCGGCGGCUCCGGGGAAGGGUUGGGGAAGGCCUCGACCCCUCUGGGCCGGGCAGCCCAGCACUGUGCUUCCCUCCCUCCUCAGCUCCCGCGGCCACAUCCGAGGAGGAGCAGGAGGAGGAGGAGGAGCAGGAGGAAGACAGCAGGGGCUGUUGGUGCCACCGCCCACUCUCACAGCCUGAGCCCUCCCCCGCCUUGGGCCUCAUCGGCCGCCGUCCGUCGCCUCAGGUGAAAGCGUAUCCCUCCGCAGCGGCCGCCCCCACGGCCGGGCUCGCAUCCCCACAGUCCCCGGAUGGAAACUGUUAUGGCCGCCAACAGCGACUGGCCGGGCUAUGGAGCGGGGCGAGACCUUUUUUCACUAUUUUUCCUGAAUGUGGCCUUUUCUGAGUCUUACAUAUUUACCUCUUCUAUCCGUGUGGAAAAAUGUUAAAAAGGCUGUUGAAGAUUUGAAGUCAAGUCUUUUCUUAAUGUGUAAGUCUGACUUCUUCAUUGGUUAUGUAAAUUUAAAGAUCCCUGGGAGGUUUUUGUUUCUGUGGGAUUUUUGGUUUAUGUUUUUUUUUUUUACUAGUUGGUUGUUUCUAGUAGAUAUUUUUAUUUAUCAUGCUGCAGGUGCUUGUCGAUAGUCACAUGCUACGCACUAAUAACAAUGUUAAAUUGUAAUUUGUGUGGUUAAUUAGUUAAAGGAGAUAUCAAAUCAGGAUUGAAUAUACCCAGCUGAGACGCUGCCAAACAUAAAUGUUUUAUCCAGUCAGUGGUGUGUUGCCCAACUGAGGCCCACGUUGGCCCCAUGUUAAAAGCCUGAGGUUUGUUCUCUGCAGCAAACUGCAUCCACUUCUGAUUUUUAUAGUGUUAAUUGCACACAUUUCAGGAUUCAGUAUUUGACAGUGUAACACUAUAACCUGAAUGAUAGGCAGCUGCCAUCAGGAUGAUGUAUUGCAUCAUGCAACCUGUAAUCUUCAUGUGUUGCAUGUUGGAGAUCUUAAGAAACCUCUUCAGCAAACAAGCCUAAGUCAUUUUUAGUUACUUAUUCUUUAUAUGGGAGUUCAGCUUGCUCCUGUUCAAAUAAAGGAUUUGCUGUUGACA